GAUGCUACCUGGUAUCCUCCUGAUAUCCGG
rnacentral:rRNA from 1 species